rnacentral:rRNA from 1 species
GCUUGUCUCAAAGAUUAAGCCAUGCAUGUCUAAGUAUAAGCCUUUACACGGUGAGACUGCGAAUGGCUCAUUAAAUCAGAAACUGUUUAUUUGAUAGUGCCUACUACUUGGAUAACCGUGGUAAAUCUAUGGCUAAUACAUGCGCAAAGGCCCGACCCUGAAGGGCUGUAUUUAUUAGAUCUAACCAUCAUUUGGUGAAUCAUAGUAACUGAUCGGACCGUGCGUUAGCGCGGUAAAUCGUUCAAGUUUCUGCCCUAUCAGCUUUCGAUGGUAGUGUAUUGGACUACCAUGGCAGUCACGGGUAACGGAGAAUUAGGGUUCGGUUCCGGAGAGGGAGCCUGAGAAACGGCUACCACAUCUAAGGAAGGCAGCAGG